GGUGGGGUGGCUGAGCGGUUGAAAGCGGCAGUCUUGAAAACUGUUGUGGGGGUUUCCUCCACCGAGAGUUCGAAUCUCUCCCCCACCG
rnacentral:tRNA from 1 species